GACGAACGCUGGCGGCGUGCUUAACACAUGCAAGUCGAACGGGCCUUGUCCCCUUUUUUUUUGGGGGUGGGGUUAGUGGCGAACGGGUGAGUAACACGUGAGUAACCUGCCCCUCACUUCUGGAUAACCGCUUGAAAGGGUGGCUAAUACGGGGUGUUCUGGCCUGCUCGCAUGGGUGGGUUUGGAAAGAUUCGACCGGUUUUGGUUGUUUUGGUGGGGGAUGGGCUCGCGGCCUAUCAGCUUGUUGGUGGGGUGAUGGCCUGCCAAGGCUUUGACGGGUAGCCCGCCUGAGAGGGUGGGCGGUCACACUGGGACUGAGACACGGCCCAGACUCCGACGGGAGGCAGCAGUGGGGAAUAUUGCACAAUGGGCGCAAGCCGGAUGCAGCGACGCCGCGUGAGGGAUGGAGGCCUUCGGGUUGUGAACCUCUUUCGCCAGUGAAGAAGGUCCUGCUCUUUGUGGUGGGGUUGACGGUAGCUGGGUUAAUGAAGCGCCGGCUAACUACGUG
rnacentral:rRNA from 1 species